rnacentral:rRNA from 1 species
CGGGAAACUGGGGAUAAUUCCCGAUAGAUCUCGUCUGCUGGAAUGCCUCGAGAUCCAAAGCUCCGGCGCCUAAGGAUGGGUCUGCGGCCUAUCAGGUAGUAGUGGGUGUAGCGUACCUACUAGCCUACGACGGGUACGGGUUGUGAGAGCAAGAGCCCGGAGAUGGGUUCUGAGACACGAAUCCAGGCCCUACGGGGUGCAGCAGGCGCGAAAACUUUACAAUGCUGGGAACAGCGAUAAGGGAACCUCGAGUGCCAGGUUACAAGUCUGGCUGGCGUGAUGCCUAAAAAGCAUUAUAUAGCAAGGGCCGGGCAAGACCGGUGCCAGCCGCCGCGGUAACA